AUAACCAGGACACUCACCGUCAGCCGGGCUGCCACCACAACAACAUUACUGUGGCUCAAAGACAGAACUGACUCAUCUCGCUGUGGAGAGUCCCCAGCUGCAGAAGCACCAGGGCCGACCCGUUUUGCGCUGAACCCCGCAGAUGGCGCAGCGCAAAUCGCUUCAUAUCUUAAAGGACCAUCUCAAAGGUUGCAAAAUGUAAAUAUUAUGAACUCUCAUUAAAUUAUGACGUUAGUCUCGU